rnacentral:tRNA from 1 species
UCUUUGAGAGAUCAGCUGAUAGAGUGGAGGACUGUACAUCCUUAGGUUGCUGGUUCAAUUCCUGCUUGAGGGAA